rnacentral:rRNA from 1 species
AAGUCCCGUAACGAGCGCAACCCUCGCCUUUAGUUGCCAUCAUUUAGUUGGGCACUCUAAAGGGACCGCCGGCGACAAGCCGGAGGAAGGUGGGGAUGACGUCAAGUCCUCAUGGCCCUUACGGCCUGGGCUACACACGUGCUACAAUGGCGGUGACAGUGGGCAGCGACCACGCGAGUGGAUGCGAAUCCCAAAAAACCGUCCCAGUUCAGAUUGCACUCUGCAACUCGGGUGCAUGAAGGUGGAAUCGCUAGUAAUCGCAGAACAGCAGGCUGCGGUGAAUACGUUCCCGGGCCUUGUACACACCGCCCGU